UCCUGAGAUAAAAUAGCUAAAUUGGCAGAGCACGAGACUCUAAUCUCAGGGUCGUGGGUUUGAGCCCCACGUUGGGCA